rnacentral:rRNA from 1 species
GCGGUCUCGCAAGGGACAGCGGCGAACGGGUGCGUAACACGUGGGUAUCUGCCCUGGAGUGGGGGAUAACUCGCCGAAAGGCGAGCUAAUACCGCAUGAGCUCACGGUCUCUUCGGAGACUGAGAGAAAAGGAGCAAUCCGCUCCAGGAUGAGCCCGCGGCCCAUCAGCUAGUUGGCGGGGUAACGGCCCACCAAGGCAACGACGGGUAGCUGGUCUGAGAGGACGACCAGCCACACUGGAACUGAGACACGGUCCAGACUCCUACGGGAGGCAGCAGUGGGGAAUCUUGCGCAAUGGGCGAAAGCCUGACGCAGCGACGCCGUGUGUGCGAUGAAGGUUUUCGAAUCGUAAAGCACUGUCGCCCGGGAAAAAGAAAUGAUGGUACCGGGAGAGGAAGCACCGGCUAACUCUGUGCCAGCAGCCGCGGUAAUACAGAGGGUGCGAGCGUUGUUCGGAAUUAUUGGGCGUAAAGCGCUGGUAGGUGGCUUGUUAAGUCGCGUGUGAAAUCUCCAGG